rnacentral:lncRNA from 1 species
UGCUUAAACCAGCAGAGCUCAAAAUGCAUUUUUAUAUUUAUCCAAACUUUUGAAAUUUAGUGUUUUCUUGAAUUAUAGGACUGCUAUUUUGUCAAUGUAAUAUAAAUAAAUGUGAACAGAUAUUCCUCAGUAGUAACACGAGCAUCUAAAUAUCUCAAUAUAACUUAACACACAUAAAUAUUUCAGUGCAACCUAAUACGUAGAUAAUUUUGAGAAAUUUGCAGCACCUAAAAAUUUACCUUUUCAGAAUCAAAGUCUCUCAGAAGCUGUUUUACUCCAAAAUAAAAUUGAAGUGCUGUUAUAAGGAAAAAAAUGUAUCACUUAUGCUAAAAGGCUAUAAAGCAUAUUUAAAUUAUGUGAAAUAAUUUUUAUCAUAAA